rnacentral:tRNA from 1 species
UGAAUUGAGGCGGUGGUUUGUAAUUCCACUUAUGGAGUUGUACGGCUCCUCUUUCCA